UACGGGGGGGGCAAGCGUUGUUCGGAAUUACUGGGCGUAAAGGGCUCGUAGGCGGCCAACUAAGUCAGACGUGAAAUCCCUCGGCUUAACCGGGGAACUGCGUCUGAUACUGGAUGGCUAGAGGUUGGGAGAGGGAUGCGGAGUUCCAGGUGUAGCGGUGAAAUGCGUAGAUAUCAAGUGGAACACCAGUGGCGAAGGCGAGUCUCUGGACAUUUCCUGACGCUGAGGCACGAAAGCCAGGGGAGCAAACGGG
rnacentral:rRNA from 1 species